rnacentral:snoRNA from 1 species
AUCCCAUGAUGAGGACAGGCGUCGACGUAUUCCUGCAAUCUUUCCCACGCUUCCGGGAUCGUCUCAUCUUUCGUCUGCUGGAAGGCUAGAUAUUCCUCCACGAAGGGU